rnacentral:rRNA from 1 species
GUGGGGAAUAUUGCACAAUGGGCGAAAGCCUGAUGCAGCAACGCCGCGUGAGGGACGACGGCCUUCGGGUUGUAAACCUCUUUUAGUAGGGAAGAAGCGAAAGUGACGGUACCUGCAGAAAAAGCACCGGCUAACUACGUGCCAGCAGCCGCGGUAAUACGUAGGGUGCAAGUGUUAUCCGGAAUUAUUGGGCGUAAAGAGCUCGUAGGCGGUCUGUCGCGUCUGCUGUGAAAACUGGAGGCUCAACCUCCAGCCUGCAGUGGGUACGGGCAGACUAGAGUGCAGUAGGGGAGAGUGGAAUUCCUGGUGUAGCGGUGGAAUGCGCAGAUAUCAGGAGGAACACCGAUGGCGAAGGCAGAUCUCUGGGCCGUAACUGACGCUGAGGAGCGAAAGCGUGGGGAGCGAACAGGAUUAGAUACCCUGGUAGUCC